ensembl:lncRNA
GGCUCCUCACAUGAGGUGGCCAAAGUAUUGGCGCUUCAGCUUCAGCAUCAGCCCUUCCAAUGAAUACAUUGUAACUACUUAACUCUAGUAUAAAGAUUAAAGGACAAAAGUAUUGAGAAUAGCUAUAGAUAUAAUAAUUUGUUAAUGGAUACACAAUAUAAAAAGAUAUAAAUGGUGACAUUAAAAACUUAAAAAUGGGGAGAGUGAAGGGGUAGAUUCUUGUAAGUGAACAAAGUUAAGCUGAUAUCACCAUAAAAUAGUGUUACAUUCAUAAGAUGUUUCACAUAAGCUUCACAGUAACCAAAGCGAUCCUGAGAAAGAAGAACAAAACUGGAGGCAACACACACCCUAAAAUUUCAAAGCAUUCUACUAAACUACAGUAAUCAAAAUAGUUUGGUUCUGGAAUGAAAAUAGAUGUGUAAACCGACGGAACAGAAUCAAGAUCCCAGAAAUAAACUCUCAUACAUAUGGUUAACUAAUAUUUGACAAGGAAGCCAAGAAUAUUCAUUGGAGAAAUGACAGACUCUCCAAUAAAUGGUUUUGGGAAAAUGGGAUAAUCACAUGCAGAGAAAUGAAAUUGGACCCUUAACUUACACCACUUAAAAAAAUUAACUUGAAAUGGAUUAAAGACUUAAUCAUAAGAUUAAAAACAGAAAAUCCCUAGAAGAAAAUCAGAGAAAAAAUGUCUUGAUGUUGGUUUUGGUAAUAAUUUUUUGGAUAUGAUACCCAAAACACAAAGAGCAAAAGCAAAGCACAAACAAUCAGCAAAAUGAAAUGGCAACCUAUGAAAUGAGAGGAAUUAUUUUCAAAUCAUUUAUCUGAUAAGAGGUUAAUAUCCAAAAUAUAUAAAACUCAAUAGCAAAAAAAAAUCCCCAAUGAUUCAAUUAAAAAAAUGAACGGAGGAUCUAUAUAGACAUUUUUCCAGAGAAGAUACACAAAUGGCCAAAAGUUACAUGAAAAAAAGUGCUCAGCAUCACUUAUCAUAAGGAGAGUGAAAAUCAAACCACAGUGAGAUACCAUUUCAUGUCUGUUAGAAUGGUUGUCAAUGACAGGAGAUAAUGAGUGUUGGAGAUGAUGUGGAGAGAAGGGAAACUUAUACAUUAUUGAUGGGAAUGUAAACUGGCACAGCGACUAUAGAAAAAAGUGUACAGGUUCCUCAAAAGAUAAAAAAUAGAACUACCAUAUGAUCCAUCAAUUCCAUUUCUUGGUUUAUAUUAAAAGGAAACAGAAUCACUAUCUCAAGAUUUCUGCACAGCCGUGUUCAUUGCAGUAUUAUUUAUAACAGACAAGAUAUGGAAAUGACUUAGGAGUCCAUUGAUACAGAAACAAAUAAAGAAAAGGUGCAGAUAUAUAGGUAGAUAUAAUAUGCACACACACAUAUAUAUGAUGGAAUAUUAUUCAGCCAUAAAAAGAAGGCAGUUCUGUCAUUUGUGACAACGUGGAUGGACUUUGCAGGCCUUGUGCCAAGUGAAAUAAGUCAGAUGGAGAAAGACAGAUGCUAUAUGAUAUCACUUAUAUGUGGACUCUAAGAAAACCAAACUGAAAGAAACGAAACAGAUUGGUGACUGUCUGAGGUGGGAGCGGGUAGGGGUAUGGGGAAAUGAGAUGUUUGUCAAAGGGUACAAACUUUCAGUUAUAAGAUAAACAAAUUCUGGUGAUCUAUUUUACAACGUGGUAAUUAUAAUUAUUAUAUAAUUGAAAGUUGCUAAAAGAGUAGAUCUUACAUGUUCUCGCUACAAAAAAGAGAUGAUAACUAUGUGAUGUGCAGGAGGUGUUAACAAAUGCUAUGGUGGUAAUCGUUCUCCAAUAUUUAAGCAGAUAAAAUCUUGUUGUACACCCUAAACUUACCCAAUGUUGCAUGUCAAUUACAUCUUAAUAAAGAUGGAAAAAACAUGCAUAUAACAUUAAGUGAUACUUACACAUGGGUGGGAAUAAAUCAGUGGAGAAGAGAAAAUGAUGAUGCAGGUGACCUUAACUGAGAAGCAGUUUUACUUCUGGGGCUCGCAGAUGGGGAAAUUACAGUCCCCAUCCCAGGAGCCAAUGAGUAGGACCUAGUGGUAGCUGUGUCUUUUCUGUCUUCCAAGAGAGCAGCUUGUUUGCAGUCGUAAACGAGUACAGUGGUAAGCAAGUGUAAACCUGGCCCCUGACUUUAUGCAAAAAGCCUGGUUUGAAUUCAGUUCCUGUUUUCCGGAGGAAGUAGAAAUUCCAUUCUCCGCAGUCUUGUAUGCCUGCUGAACUGAGCUCUGAAUCCUCACGGGCUAACUGUGUGGAGCUUGAGUUAGUGAAAUAUAAUAAUUAAUAUCAAUUGAGUGCUUAUUGUACGCGAGGUUUAUCAACUCUAGUAAGCCUCACCACAGCCCUAUGAAGCUGAGGUACAGAGAUGCUAAGUAACUUGCCAGUGGUCCCCCAUUCAGAACCCAGGAAGUGGUAGUCCUGGGAUUUGAAUUUAGGCGGUCUGACUGCAGAACUCUGGGGUUUGAUGACAGUUUAUCUGGAGGGAGUAUGGGAGAGUGGGUUCAUUACAUAGUACAGAAUAAUUUGGGGAUGCUGAUCUUAAAAAAUUUCUUCACCAUAACAUUAGAACUAUAUUCAUGUUGUGGGCAGUGGAUUUAUUUUUAGCAAAACAUGAUUUAUUACAUUAAAUGAAUGUCAGAAAUGUAGGGGCUUUUGGGGAAAUAAAAUUCUAAGUAUGUUUGUUUUUUAAAGCUGUAAAUAAGCUAAAGUAUAUAACCUGAUUUUAUGUUUACAUUUAAGUAACACUGCAAUAAUUAUUAUUUUAACCAACAAUGGGAGUCCUCAAAAUUUUUUGUCCCGAGAGCCUAUUACUCAAGUAUAAAGUAGAUUGAUACAGUUUUUUUUUUAUCUCUUUUUUUUUCCUGGAAGAAAGAAGAUCUUUGUUUCUCUUCUCAGUCUCCUAAGCAUUAACCAGACCUCUGCUUGUACAGAGGAGUUAACAGUAUGACUCAGAAGAACUGUUCUCAUCCUGGCUAAAAAGACUGCUUUUGAGGGACUCUUCAGAGACUUGGCUGAAAAGGCUCCAGCUGCCUGGUGUGAUACUAAAGGCAUCACCGACUCGAUGGACGUGAGUUUGAGUGAACUCCGGGAGAUGGUGGUGGAGGCCUGGCGUGCUGUGAUUCAUGGGGUCGCAAAGAGUCGGACACGACUGAGUGAGUGACUGGACUGAACUGAACUGAAAGGUCAGAAAUAUUUAAUUCUCAAAAUCAAUUCUCCAUUCAGGGAUGAUCAGUUGCAAUAGACUUGGUGAAAUAGAGGUAUCAGUAUCUUUCCAUUUCCUUUCCAGUGUAAUUAUAUGUUUUAUUUAUUCCUGAAAUAUACUGGAUUGGAAAAAAAAUUCAUUUAGGUUGUCCAUAAAAUAUUAUUUAUAUUUAAUUUGAAUUUAUAUACUCUAUAAAAUUAAUGGAGCUAUUUAAAAAUUUUAAGCACAUUCAGCAUUUUCUCAUUUAAUGUUUUUAAAUUGAAUAACAAGACUGUAUUUGGUUUUGUUUGGAAAAUGUGCUAGCUGACGGAAAAUGACCUUACAAUUAAUUAUGAUUGAACUGUGAACUACUGUGAAUUCAAUAUUUUGAACUGUGAACAACUCAUCAGCUUACCUCAUUGGUUAUAAUACAAUUCACAUUUAUAUGACAAGUUAUUUGAUAAUUUUGUAAAUAAAUAAACUCAUUUUCUGAUAUGAUUAUAGCUUUGUUUGUAACAGUUAUGAAGACAUGUUUGUAAUCUGAUGUUAGUAUAUUAAUUUAUCUACUCACAAAGUGUUCAUCUUUUUCAAACCACAAAGAAAAGCAGUGCAGACUCUUUAAUAUUAAAUGUUAAUUUUUCAAGCUCCAGCAUUUAGUAAACACAGUUUUUAAAAAAUUAUGGCACUAGAACUUUGUAAGUUCUCAAGAUGUAGAGAGAAAUUUCUGGCAAAGAUUGAUUUAGAGGACAAAAGCAAAUGCCUACUCUUUAAUUAAAUUGCCCAGAUAGGCACUGCAGAACUCUAAAACUCAUUCUGGAAUUAAGUCCUGUGUGUGAGCUGAGGCCAAGCUUCCUAUUUUACAGGUUUGUCAAGGGAUUUAUAUAAGCAAGAUCAGGAUAUCUGAGGUUGACUCUCAAAUAGGCUAUGUUUUAUGAGUCUAAAUAGAACUUGAAUUUGUCCAAAAUUCAUUCCUGCUUAUCAAUCUCCAGGGGAUCUUCCCAACCCAGGGAUGGAACCCUGGUCUCCUACGUUGCAGGCAGAUUCUUUACUGUUUGAGCCACCAGGGAAGCCCCCUAUGUUAUCAAAGUGAAGUCGCUCAGUCGUGUCUGACUCUUUUCGACCCCAGGGGCUGUAGCCUAUCAGGCUUCUCUGUCCAUGGGAUUUUCCAGGCAAGAGUGCUGGAGUGGAUUGCCAUUUCCUUCUCCAGAUGUUAUCAAUACCUUGUGUAAAAACAAAGGAAAAAAAAAUACCUUUGGAUAAAUAACUGAUUAGCAAUUAGUUUAGUAAUUUUUUGAUACGGAUAAGUUUGCUGCUACUGCUGCUAAGUUGCUUCAGUCCUGUCCGACUCUGUGCAACCACACAGACGGCAGUUUAGUAUGUAGCAAUAUAAAACCAACUAAGUUUCUAGAAUAGAAUCAGAAGAGGUAAUUUAAUAAUCAACAUUAAAAAGUGUCCAAGCUUUUCUUAAAUUUAAUGGUGUUCCCCUGCCCCAACUGAAUUGCUUUCUAAGAGAUUAUUUUUCUGGAGGUUUUAUCACCUAUACUUUAACAGUUUACUCUUAGUGUAUUAAGUUUAUUUGUAUUUUGUUAAAUACCUUGUUUUCCUUUUCAUCAACUUUAAACAUUCUCUGCAUUUCACACGAGGUGCAUCAUCAGAAAAUUGUGUUUAUAUAUGUGUGUAUUAUGCACACAUUUUGCCUUUAGCUCCUUAAGUCAACUAAAGAAAAAUCAUAGAUGUGUAAGUUAAUUUCUCUCACAGAAGAGGGAUGAUCAGUUACAACAUACCUGAUGAAAUAAAGGUAUCAAUAUCUUUCCAUUUCCUUUUUAGUGUGACUGAUCAUUCUUUCCUUUUUUCCCUCUGAAUUUGUAUCCACGUUUGCAACUUUCUGAUAUGAAGCCUUACGUCCUGCAAAAAUCACACUGUGUCUAGAAGUUUAAUUUUCUGAGAUUAUAAGUUACAGGCUACCUUCCCUUCUGUCUUAAUUGACUGCCACUACUGCAUUCCUAUUGGGAUGACCUGAUUUUGUCCAUUUCACUUACUUUGGGGAUAGCCUUUGAGUUUUCCAGCG